GGUCCGCUAGCUCAAUGGCAGAGCAACUGACUCUUAAUCAGUAGGUUCCCGGUUCGAGUCCGGGGCGGAUCACCA
rnacentral:tRNA from 1 species